CCGACAUGGAUAGUCCCAGGAGGUCCCUCUCCCUGCUCUGUCCAGGUAGCAGAGGGCUCUGCCCUGUGAUGUAUAGUCCUGCACCACAGCGCUGGCCAUCAGACCGGCCCUUGAGUCUGCGCCUGCAUCUUCCUAUAGCUUCUCAGAGUCCUGUGGACAGUGACUGAGGAGACAAACCAUGAGGAAGCAGCC
rnacentral:snoRNA from 1 species